AAAUUAUGAAGUUACAGUGUACAUUUGGUUGGAAAGCCAUUUAAAUGGUUCUGGUAAGGUUGCGGCGGAAUGAAACAUACCAGAUUUUGGUAUAAAAAUAAAAAUAAAUAAAAAUAGUGUGAGAUACUAUUUUUAUUGGAUUUAGAGGAGUAAAACAUAAGUCAGAAAUGACUUGUGCUGAAAUCGGAUUGAAAACAGAAGAACUAAAAUUUUCUGUUGGAAACGGGGCAGAUAAAUUAGCAGAAAAUGCACAGUGUCAGAAAAUUAUGAAAACUGGAGGGUAAGUCAGAAUUAUUUUUAUGAGGCUAGAUUUAAAGUUUCAUAUUAUUCUGACGCCCGUAGAGUGAGAAAUAAAAUCCGACAGCUAUCUGAUAAAGAUUACAGUUCGGUACAGUUUUCAGUGACCAAACGGGGUCGAAACUAAAAACUUAAGAUAUAUUCUCACUCAGUACGUUAAACCGAGCUUGCCUGUCAAAUUUGAGCUCAAACGAACAUUCAGAAGGGCUCCAACUGUUCCGAACUGCUAAACUGCCCGGAGAAGAAUAGUGUUUUGGGGUGUUAAUGUAU
rnacentral:lncRNA from 1 species